CGGAAUUGCCGCGGGCCCUAACACAUGCAGUCGACGGUAGCACAGAGAGCUUGCUCUCGGGUGACGAGUGGCGGACGGGUGAGUAAUGUCUGGGAAACUGCCUGAUGGAGGGGGAUAACUACUGGAAACGGUAGCUAAUACCGCAUAACGUCGCAAGACCAAAGAGGGGGACCUUCGGGCCUCUUGCCAUCAGAUGUGCCCAGAUGGGAUUAGCUAGUAGGUGGGGUAACGGCUCACCUAGGCGACGAUCCCUAGCUGGUCUGAGAGGAUGACCAGCCACACUGGAACUGAGACACGGUCCAGACUCCUACGGGAGGCAGCAGUGGGGAAUAUUGCACAAUGGGCGCAAGCCUGAUGCAGCCAUGCCGCGUGUAUGAAGAAGGCCUUCGGGUUGUAAAGUACUUUCAGCGGGGAGGAAGGUGUUGAGGUUAAUAACCUCAGCAAUUGACG
rnacentral:rRNA from 1 species